rnacentral:misc_RNA from 1 species
CCGAGUGAGGGUGUCGCCUCGGCGCGCCCGACCUCCCAACCCUUUGUCUACCUUACCACAACGUUGCUUCGGCAGGCCCGCCAACCCCCAGGGAACACCACCCCGGGGCGAGGCCGCCGGGGGCCCUCGUGCCCCGGGCCCGCGCCUGUCGACGGCCCCUCUCAAACUCAUGUCUAAACGUGUCGUCUGAGUUAUGAUUAUAAUGCAAACCA